GUCACAGCAGAGAUUAUUGAUCUGCAAGCUAAUGUAGAACAAUGCUUGUUGCCACAACACAUGCAUAAUUCAUGCUUGAUUCAAACACAAAAAUAACAUAUAUUAAUGUACACUUGGAGUCACAGCAGAGAUUAUUGAUCUGCAAGCUAAUGUAGAACAAUGCUUGUUGCCACAACACAUGUAUAAUUCAUGCUUGAUUUAAACACAAAAAUAACAAAUAUUAAUGUACACUUGGAGUCACAGCAGAGAUUAUUGAUCUAAAAGCUAAUGUAGAACAAUGCUUGUUGCCACAACACAUGUAUAAUUCAUGCUUGAUUUAAACACAAAAAU